AGCGCGACCGGGUCGACCCCGCGGGUCACGACGAGGUAGUCGCGCAGGACGGUGGAGUGGCGGGCUUC
rnacentral:sRNA from 1 species